GACGAACGCUGGCGGCGUGCCUAAUACAUGCAAGUAGAACGCACAGUUUAUACCGUAGCUUGCUACACCAUAAAUUGUGAGUUGCGAACGGGUGAGUAACGCGUAGGUAACCUGCCUGGUAGCGGGGGAUAACUAUUGGAAACGAUAGCUAAUACCGCAUAAUAUUAAUUAUUGCAUGAUAAUUGAUUGAAAGAUGCAAUUGCAUCACUACCAGAUGGACCUGCGUUGUAUUAGCUAGUAGGUGAGGUAACGGCUCACCUAGGCGACGAUACAUAGCCGACCUGAGAGGGUGAUCGGCCACACUGGGACUGAGACACGGCCCAGACUCCUACGGGAGGCAGCAGUAGGGAAUCUUCGGCAAUGGACGAAAGUCUGACCGAGCAACGCCGCGUGAGUGAAGAAGGUUUUCGGAUCGUAAAGCUCUGUUGUAAGAGAAGAACGGGUGUGAGAGUGGAAAGUUCACACUGUGACGGUAUCUUACCAGAAAGGGACGGCUAACUACGUG
rnacentral:rRNA from 1 species